GAUGAACGCUAGCUACAGGCCUAACACAUGGCAAGGUCGAGGGGCAGCGGGAAGGAAGCUUGCUUUCUUCGCCGGCGACCGGCGCACGGGUGCGUAACGCGUAUCGAACCUACCCUUUACUCGGGAACAGCCUUGCGAAAGCAAGAUUAAUGCCCGAUGUUCCGCGUUUGCCGCAUGGCAAAUUCGGCAAAGAUUUAUUGGUAAAGGAUGGCGAUGCGUCCCAUUAGUUAGUUGGCGGGGUAACGGCCCACCAAGACGACGAUGGGUAGGGGUUCUGAGAGGAAGGUCCCCCACAUUGGAACUGAGACACGGUCCAAACUCCUACGGGAGGCAGCAGUGAGGAAUAUUGGUCAAUGGGCGAGAGCCUGAACCAGCCAAGUCGCGUGAGGGAAGACGGUCCUACGGAUUGUAAACCUCUUUUGUCGGGGAGUAACGUGCGGGACGCGUCCCGUAUUGAGAGUACCCGAAGAAAAAGCAUCGGCUAACUCCGUG
rnacentral:rRNA from 1 species